rnacentral:lncRNA from 1 species
ACGUCGGGAGACAGAGCCGGAGAGAUAGGUCGGCGGAGACAGAUAGAUCAGCAGAGAUAGAGGUCGAGAGACGGAUCGGGAGAGAGAGGAAACGUCAGGAGACGGAGCCGGAGCCGGAGAGAUAGAUCGGCCGAGAGAGGGAACGGUGGAGAAAGAGGUCGAGAGACGGAUCGGGAGAGAGAGGAAACGUCGGGAGACGGAGAGAUAGAUCGGCCGAGAGAGGGAACGGCGGAGAAAGAGGUCGAGAGACGGAACGGCUGAGACAGAUUUUGGGAGAGGGAACAGGGUGAGACCGAGAUCGCCGUUGAGAGAGAGAAGGGAGAGGAUGAGAAUGACUCGACUCCCCUGUUCCAACCCUAGACGCACACUCCCUCCCGCGAUGACACGUGCCGUUAAGGACGGACACAAAAACUUCUUAACUAACAUACGUUUUCUUCUUUUUAAUUUCAUUUUGAUUUAUUUUUUCGGUUUAAU